CCCAGUUAAGGGCCGGCCUUAAAAGUUGGGCUAGCAGGGGCAAGGGUCUGGAUCGGGAGCUUGACACAAGCAGCCCAUCCCAGGCUAGGCUGCCCUAGCCUGGAUUGGGCUGCUCGUGUGAAUAGCCUCACUGUAUCAUUUUUAGUAGCUUCAUCAAGGCCUCUUAAAAUGCUAACACUGCUAUUCUAAAAAGUAUAACUUUUUGUUGGAGAAAAUAUCUCUUAAUUAUUUGUUAAAAAUUUUUUACAGUGCAAGACAUGUAUGAGGCAUUAAUUUUAAUGUUACUGUUCUUUUGUAUUAGAUGAGAAUCUGAUAAUUCAAAUAUUUGCUAUUCUGCCAGUGUAUAAGCUCUUGGAACUGAGAGUGUCAACAGCUGCACAUUGUAAAAUGUGUUCUCCCCCUGCCCCAGCACCAUGUGUGGAUUUGACAGCAAAACUUUCAGUAUCCAAGCACGAACAGUUGAAACAAAGUGCGAAAAUUCUUAAUGGAAUUAUGUAUUUAGAGAAACAGCAGAAAAUGCCUUGUCCAUGGACCUGAAGAAAAGCUUCAUUUAUCUGGAUGGUCUGCUGGAUUUAAAAAAAAAUAAAUGUUGACAUAAGGAGGGGGCGCAGAUGACAAAGGCAGGAGGAUGGUGGCUGCUGAGAAAGGAAAGACUUAAACCAGCCCAGGGAUUGGACCUCCUUGAGUUGUGCUCCUCCCCUGCUCAGCAAUUCAAUGCAGAGUUGGGAAGGAGCAGGAAGGAACCAUGAAGGAGAGCUGGAAAGGAAAGACAAACAACCCUUAUCUGUUUUUUCUGUGAAUGUGAUUUCUUCCCUCAGAAGCCAAUGUGCGUUUUUCUCCUUCCCACAUUCGUGAACUGUGUGUGUGUGUGUGUGAGUGUGUGUGAGAGAGAGAGAGAUCCCAUCCCCAACUGAAAGCCUCCCUUGGUGUGUCUCUUCCCUAUCUCCAAGCCCUUGUUUGUGCUUGUGUGAGAGAUUUUUAACCUUUUAAAAAUGAUUUAAAAUGACUGAGUUCUUUCCAGUAAGUCCUGACCCAUGUGAUUGUCCCCUUGGAACUUGCAAUGAGGAGUUCUCUGUAGAAGGGAAAGCAGAAAGUAAGAGAGUGAGUGAGUGGGGUGGAGUUUAUUGGCUGGCCAGUGGUGGUCGUGCUGGUGGUUGUUCAAUCUAUAUGCAAUUGUUUUUCAACCAAAUAAGUUCUCAGAAUGGUAUACAUAGCGGAGAGAGAUUUUUAAACUUAAAAAAAAUUCGAAGCAGCACAACAAGGUGCCAAAUGUAAGCCAAAACUAUUCUAAUACAAACUUGUAAUGAAGCCUCCCCACCACAAUAGUAUACCUUCUUGUGAGGAAAUUUGUCACUACAAAAAGUAUUAAAAGCUUUAAAAAUAAUAAGAGGGAAGAAAAAUGCUCUGACAACAUAGAUCUUUUUCUGUUUUUCCCUGCCUUUUGGUUUAUUAAGUGCUGGUUGUUGGGCUUGAAAACUGCUUGUAGCCUUAAUCUGGUGGGGUGUGUGUGUGUGUGAGAGAGAGAGAGAGAGAGAGAGCGCGCGCACAAUUGGGCAAAUAGGGAUAGGAACAUUGCUAGGAGUUGUAUGCAUGCAUAUAUCAGGUCUCAGUAGUAGGCAUAUGUUAAAAAUGUUUCUGAGCUAAGGGAAUAUGUAUGCACAAGUAUGUGUAUGAAAGUGUAUGCAUAUAUGAAGAGAGUGUAAUAUUAUAUGCAUGGAAGGGAAAGAAAGGGCAUGCUAAGAAUCUUGUUUUCAUCAUGUCCUUGCAUUUUUUCUGCAAAAAUAUAUAUGGGGGAGGGGGAAAACAAAGAAGACGGGGAGCAAGCGGGCCCAUCUUCACUUUUUGUCCCUAGGCCCACUCCCACCUUGCUACGCCCAAGAUGCCAGUGAUGUCCCCACAUUAUCCAUUCAUGGAAGGCACCACUUGACAUGGGCCAGUGGCCAAAUGAGCCCAUGACAACACCCAGUCGAGUAUAUGCAUUGCACAUCUAACCACUAGGUAGCCAGCAAGACACCACAGCACCUUCAUGUGCACAAGCUGGCCAAGCACUGUGGCCUGCACAAAAAGCCAAGAGGCUUCCCAAGGAAAAGGUUCCGCUGCUUUGAGAGCAGUGCUUAUGUAACAGUCCACACGGGUUGCUGUGUCUGAGAGGUAUCUGCAUUUUUCUGGGGAGAAGGAGGAGAGCCACCUGUAAAGGGAAGCAUGGAAACUCUAGCAGCAAAGGGAUAGUGUAGCUGACUGGGGAAGGGCAACGCAAAGGGAAAAGGUUGAGUCUCAGUCCAGAGAGAGGGGAAUGUGGCCUCCACUAGACACAACCCACCUUUUGGGGUCUUGCUGACAACAGUAUUUUCAGAUGAGGCAACAGGACAGGCUUCCAAACCCCACUCCAACCACACAGCCCCUGGAAAGGACCUGAUGGAAGGGAGGCCUAGAAAAGUGUGUUUACAGUCCCCCAGGGGGCAAGCCUAUUACAUGUUCCCCUUUUCCUGCCCCAUGCAUAAUGGUGCUGCCAGCCAUAGUGCUAGACCCCAAGAGGCCCCCUGUGAAAAAAGCACAGCUGUAGCAUACAGAAGGUCCUAAGCUCACGCCCUAGCCACAGUCUGGUGAGGAAAAGGGCUGGGAAGAGAAGUGCACUGGCUGUGCAGUAGCCAGUCAAUAUGGCUAGGAGCCCUCCAACAGCCUCCUUUCCCAUCAUCGUCUCUGGUCUGUCCUUGUGUUGGGAUGCCUUUCCUUUUAAACCGACACCUCCAUCCUAUCCCGCCAUGCUGCUCUCACGUUGAUUAGGAUGCUUGCCAGAGUCUGCUGGUUACUGUCUCAGGAUACCAUAUCACGCUCUGGCUCCACUCCAUGCCUCCCACCUGCUGGCUUUAUUGUCACACCAGAUGUAGCUGAGGGGAUCAGAGCUAAGAGAAGACAGAGCUCCUGGAAAUGCCACCCACCCCACGGCUUGUGUUCUGGCGGGAAAGCCUCGACUGCUGUGCGAAAUAGUUGUGAUGAAGCCACUGCAUGCAUCUCCACCUGCCUGAGGCUGAGUAUGCCACCAUGGAGACAGCUGAGGGCCCCUAUACUAUUGAAAGCUACAUAACAGACAAGGAACCAAGAGGUACUGCUUUCCCCAUCACUGCGUAUUCAUCCUAGGAAGAGGUGGCAGCAAACUUGAACUAUGACUUGUGCUAUACCAAGCGUUCCCAGCUCUUCAUCCCCAGAUAUUGUUGGACUACAACUCUCAUCAUCCCCAGCCUUUGAACAUUGGGACUGGGGAUGAUGUGAGUUGUAGUCCAAUAAUAUCUGGGGACCCAAUCCCAAGAACCCCUGACCUGUGGCCAUUCCCUUUUCAGGAUUUUAGCCUCACAUUUAAAGGUGAUAAAGGCCAGGCAAACUUUCUGUCCUAAACUCUAAGCAGCAAGCUUUCCCACCAGUUCUGUUGAUGAUUUGUAGAUUAGACUGUCUGUCUUAUCUGUCUCUCUCUCUCUCUCUCUUCCACUGAGCUAUCAGGAGCAUCGUGCUCAUGCCUAACCCACAGCAACCAAGUCUAAACCUCAGUUAAUUAAAUCCUCUGUGCCUUCCCAUGUUUUGAUGUUUAAACUUGUGAUUUGCAAGCUGCUUGUAUGGCACAGCGGGGAAAUAACUUGCCUAGCAAGCCAGAGGUUGCUGGUUCGAAUCCUUGCUGGUAUGUUUCCCAGACUAUGGGAAACACCUAUAUUGGGCAGCAGCGAUAAUAGGAAGAUGCUGAAAGGCAUCAUCUCUCUGCCCAGGAGAUGACAGUGGGAAACCCCUCCUACCAAAGAAAGCCACAUGGCUCUGUGGUUGCCAGGAGUCAACACCGAUUCGAUGGUGCAACUUUUCUUUAAACAGGCAUAGCUUGGAGCUGAUAGAUCUCUGACCUAUUAUUAGAUCCCCUUGUCUUUACUGGAGGGACUAACUAACCAAAAGGCAAGAGGAGAGGUCCUUUAUAUGGGCAGCUCUGUAUACCCACAUAACUACUUGAAAAGAAUGCCAAUGGGGUUUUUAAUAAAGAAAAUAUUGCAUCAAUAGCAUUGUAAAACUGCUAAUUAGUGCAUUGCUUACUGUGAGGAAAGUAGUACUAGGAUAAGGAAGUUACACUUGAGCACCUUCCUGCAACAGGAUUUCCUCAAGACUAUCUCACGUAGAGCACUUGGCUUGCUGCUCCCUCAGUAUACCUGUGGAGGGAACCCUCUUUGGCACUUAAUGUUCAGGAUCUCGCUCCAAACCUGCCUUAUCAUGAUCCCCGCUUCAUUUUCCACUUAAGUAAUAGUUGCACAGUGGCCAGUAAUUCCUUCCCACUGCUCUGUAAUGGUGUAGAAAAGGACAGCGGCAUCUCCAUUGUAGCAAGAAGGGUUCUCCCAGGGCAUCAAAUUUUAAUUAGAAACAAUCAGGCAGUCUUGAAAUGGGAACGGCAAGCAGCAGAAGUCAAAUCAUCAAUAAAAUAUUCAAUGGCAGAAAUGUAUUAUUGACGCAGUCUCUUGAGCAUAGCUUUAAAAAACACUGAAAGGCACAGGGCUGUAGAUACAGAGAUGUUCUUCUGCCCAUUUGCCCUUAGAGGCACAGAAACUGUUAAACGAGAGCAUAUGUCCAGCAUUCAUUGGCUUUCAGGAAUAAUAACUAUUCAUCUGGCCCAGUACCGGUGAUGAUGUGGAGGCCAGAGAUUGGUGAGGCCAAGAAUAGCACUUUUAAAUAACUAUUGGAAUGUAACAAGCAGCACAAGUCUGAAGAAACACGGAGCUCAUCUCUACAUAAAUAGCAACACCCAGUGGCUUCAAGUUGCUUGGGAUAAAGAAGUCGGAGAGUCCUUUCUCUCUGCAAAGGCACCUCUUGUCAGGAGCAAGAUAAUACUAUCAGUGCCAUAGAGAACUCUUGGAGUAGGUUGCUUGUCCAGGACUGUUUGUUGUGUCUUUGUAUGCUUCAUUGAAGAGAUGGAGUAUCAUUCACAAGAGAAAGCAGCAGCAGCGAGGCACAUGCACACAAAAUCAAUCUCUUCUCUUCCACAAAUAAAUAUGAUCUUUCGCAUGCUGAAACAGGGGUUAAAGAUCUUCUGUUCUGAAUGUUAGGUUUGUGAAUUGAAGAGCCUUAACACAGACUCUCCUCAUAAGCAGAUAGAAAGAUAGUGGUUCUCCAAUUAAGUUACAAGUGGUGAUGAAUAACUUCUGCAUGUGCCUUAUGAGCCCCUGGUGGCUCAGUGGUAAAAACUGCCGCCCUGUAACCAGAAGGUUACAAGUUCGAUCCUGACCAGGGGCUCAAGGUUGACUCAGCCUUCCAUCCUUCCGAGGUCGGUAAAAUGAGUACCCAGAAUGUUGGGGGCAAUAUGCUAAAAUCAUUGUAAACCACUUAGAGAGCUCUGGCUAUAAAGCGGUAUAUAAAUGUAAGUGCUAUUGCUAUUGCUAUGUUAUACCACUCUGUGGGCGAAAGAGGGAAACCAAGAGGGUGUUGACACACGCAGUCUUACCCAGGCUAGGGCAGCCCAGGUCGCUCCCAGCGCUGCCCCCGUGCCAAGCCUGAGUUUUUAACCUGGUGUUUAGCUGGGGUUAAGUGAACCUAUGGAUCACUUAACCUCGGCUGGUGAUCAUCUGGGCGACCGCUGCCAAGUUAAGUGGCAUCCCUCCAGCUUGCUGCCAUUUUCAGCAGCAAGCCAGAAGGAAGGAACAUCCGUGCUGAGCACAGCAGCUGCUCUAACUAGCGCAGCCGCCAUGCUCAUGCCCCAGUGCAUCCUGGGAGGGGGAAAGUCCUCCUGCUCCCAGCAUCUCCCUCUGCCACAUCACUGCUCGUGUGGGCAUGUGCUGCAUGGUGUGGCUGCUGGUUGUUUGCCGGAGAAGGCAGGUGAGCUCCUCCUUUCCUCGCAUCCUUCCCCCUCCCCCCCGCCCAGUGAGGUCAUGUGAAACCUCAAAUUGUGUCUUAUUGGUAUUCUUAGAUGCUUCCAUGGGCCACUAUUUACACAAAAUGAGUAUACAGUGACCGCAUUGCUUUUGAGUAUAUAUUUUGUGGAGCUUGCAAUUAUCUAUUUGGCACUUAUUUUCUUCUUCACCAGUUUGGUGUGGUUGGUGAUUGUGUAGGUUUGUUAGUAAUAUGUUUGAUUUGCAUGCAGAUCCUGUAAUUAAAAUGCUUAACUUGCU